rnacentral:rRNA from 1 species
AUUGAACGCUGGCGGCAGGCCUAACACAUGCAAGUCGAACGAGCGGCGGACGGGUGAGUAAUGUCUGGGAAACUGCCUGAUGGAGGGGGAUAACUACUGGAAACGGUAGCUAAUACCGCAUACCAUCAGAUGUGCCCAGAUGGGAUUAGCUAGUAGGUGGGGUAAGGGCUCACCAAGGCGACGAUCCAUAGCUGGUCUGAGAGGAUGACCAGCCACACGGGAACUGAGACACGGUACAGACUCCUACGGGAGGCAGCAGUGGGGAAUAUUGCACAAUGGGCGAAAGCCUGAUGCAGCCAGGCCGCGUGUGUGAAGAAGGCCUUCGGGUUGUAAAGCACUUUUAGCGGGGAGGCGUUACCCGCAGAAGAAGCACCGGCUAACUCCGUGCCAGCAGCCGCGGUAAUAC